AUGCUGUAGUAGAUAUUAGAAUAUUUUGUUAGACUAACCCCUGUAGGAAAACUUCUAAAUUAAAAUUGGGAAAGUCCUGAGAUGAACUCACACUGGAGAUGAAGAGAUACAAUAAUUUUGCAUAGGAUACAACUCACUCAUAGCUAAGAAGAAAGAAGGAUUGAUAAGAAAAGAGCAUGCAACGUUCUGCACUCUCACC
rnacentral:lncRNA from 1 species